UAGGGAAUCUUCCACAAUGGGCGCAAGCCUGAUGGAGCAACACCGCGUGAGUGAAGAAGGAUUUCGGCUCGUAAAGCUCUGUUGUUAAAGAAGAACACGUAUGAGAGUAACUGUUCAUACGUUGACGGUAUUUAACCAGAAAGUCACGGCUAACUACGUGCUAG
rnacentral:rRNA from 1 species